rnacentral:tRNA from 1 species
GGGUAUAUAGCUCAGUGGUAGAGUGCAAGCUUAGCAUGCAUGAGGUCCUGGGUUCAAUCCCCAGUACCUCCA